GACGAACGCUGGCGGCGUGCCUAAUACAUGCAAGUUGAGCGCUGAAGGUUGGUACUUGUACCAACUGGAUGAGCAGCGAACGGGUGAGUAACGCGUGGGGAAUCUGCCUUUGAGCGGGGGACAACAUUUAGAAACGAAUGCUAAUACCGCAUAAAAACUUUAAACACAAGUUUUAAGUUUGAAAGAUGCAAUUGCAUCACUCAAAGAUGAUCCCGCGUUGUAUUAGCUAGUUGGUGAGGUAAAGGCUCACCAAGGCGAUGAUACAUAGCCGACCUGAGAGGGUGAUCGGCCACAUUGGGACUGAGACACGGCCCAAACUCCUACGGGAGGCAGCAGUAGGGAAUCUUCGGCAAUGGACGAAAGUCUGACCGAGCAACGCCGCGUGAGUGAAGAAGGUUUUCGGAUCGUAAAACUCUGUUGGUAGAGAAGAACGUUGGUGAGAGUGGAAAGCUCAUCAAGUGACGGUAACUACCCAGAAAGGGACGGCUAACUACGUG
rnacentral:rRNA from 1 species